rnacentral:rRNA from 1 species
GAUUAAGUUAUUAAGGGCGCACGGUGGAUGCCUUGGCACUAGAAGCCGAUGAAGGACGUUACUAACGACGAUAUGCUUUGGGGAGCUGUAAGUAAGCUUUGAUCCAGAGAUUUCCGAAUGGGGAAACCCAGCAUGAGUUAUGUCAUGUUAUCGAUAUGUGAAUACAUAGCAUAUCAGAAGGCACACCCGGAGAACUGAAACAUCUUAGUACCCGGAGGAAGAGAAAGAAAAUUCGAUUCCCUUAGUAGCGGCGAGCGAAACGGGAAGAGCCCAAACCAACAAGCUUGCUUGUUGGGGUUGUAGGACACUCUAUACGGAGUUACAAAGGACGACAUUAGACGAAUCAUCUGGAAAGAUGAAUCAAAGAAGGUAAUAAUCCUGUAGUCGAAAAUGUUGUCUCUCUUGAGUGGAUCCUGAGUACGACGGAGCACGUGAAAUUCCGUCGGAAUCUGGGAGGACCAUCUCCUAAGGCUAAAUACUCUCUAGUGACCGAUAGUGAACCAGUACCGUGAGGGAAAGGUGAAAAGCACCCCGGAAGGGGAGUGAAAUAGAACCUGAAACCGUGUGCUUACAAGUAGUCAGAGCCCGUUAAUGGGUGAUGGCGUGCCUUUUGUAGAAUGAACCGGCGAGUUACGAUUUGAUGCAAGGUUAAGCAGUAAAUGUGGAGCCGUAGCGAAAGCGAGUCUGAAUAGGGCGUUUAGUAUUUGGUCGUAGACCCGAAACCAGGUGAUCUACCCUUGGUCAGGUUGAAGUUCAGGUAACACUGAAUGGAGGACCGAACCGACUUACGUUGAAAAGUGAGCGGAUGAACUGAGGGUAGCGGAGAAAUUCCAAUCGAACCUGGAGAUAGCUGGUUCUCUCCGAAAUAGCUUUAGGGCUAGCCUCAAGUGAUGAUUAUUGGAGGUAGAGCACUGUUUGGACGAGGGGCCCCUCUCGGGUUACCGAAUUCAGACAAACUCCGAAUGCCAAUUAAUUUAACUUGGGAGUCAGAACAUGGGUGAUAAGGUCCGUGUUCGAAAGGGAAACAGCCCAGACCACCAGCUAAGGUCCCAAAAUAUAUGUUAAGUGGAAAAGGAUGUGGCGUUGCCCAGACAACUAGGAUGUUGGCUUAGAAGCAGCCAUCAUUUAAAGAGUGCGUAAUAGCUCACUAGUCGAGUGACACUGCGCCGAAAAUGUACCGGGGCUAAACAUAUUACCGAAGCUGUGGAUUGUCCUUUGGACAAUGGUAGGAGAGCGUUCUAAGGGCGUUGAAGCAUGAUCGUAAGGACAUGUGGAGCGCUUAGAAGUGAGAAUGCCGGUGUGAGUAGCGAAAGACGGGUGAGAAUCCCGUCCACCGAUUGACUAAGGUUUCCAGAGGAAGGCUCGUCCGCUCUGGGUUAGUCGGGUCCUAAGCUGAGGCCGACAGGCGUAGGCGAUGGAUAACAGGUUGAUAUUCCUGUACCACCUAUAAUCGUUUUAAUCGAUGGGGGGACGCAGUAGGAUAGGCGAAGCGUGCGAUUGGAUUGCACGUCUAAGCAGUAAGGCUGAGUAUUAGGCAAAUCCGGUACUCGUUAAGGCUGAGCUGUGAUGGGGAGAAGACAUUGUGUCUUCGAGUCGUUGAUUUCACACUGCCGAGAAAAGCCUCUAGAUAGAAAAUAGGUGCCCGUACCGCAAACCGACACAGGUAGUCAAGAUGAGAAUUCUAAGGUGAGCGAGCGAACUCUCGUUAAGGAACUCGGCAAAAUGACCCCGUAACUUCGGGAGAAGGGGUGCUCUUUAGGGUUAACGCCCAGAAGAGCCGCAGUGAAUAGGCCCAAGCGACUGUUUAUCAAAAACACAGGUCUCUGCUAAACCGUAAGGUGAUGUAUAGGGGCUGACGCCUGCCCGGUGCUGG